GGUAAUGAUUGUCUUACAGGGGAGGCUGAAACCUGUCACCUCACAAGCACGGCGGACAGGCGCAUUUAUCGACAUGAUACAGUCACACAUUCUCACAUGUUGGUCGUUGGCUGUCGUAUGAAAAGCGCCACCACUUGUGGACAUCAUAAUGGUGGGAGUUAACUGUCGCUGAUAGUCUGACCGAUUUGCAACAAUGUUGCCCUCACCUAUCAUUUUGACCAGAUCGGCUAUCCAAUUGGUGUCAAGGUCAUCUGUGGUGCCCUUGCCGGAAUGUCUCCGUUGGAGGGUGGAAACCGCGGAAGGUUCCACCAAGAUACCUCGGCCAGCUAAGCCCCUUCACUCAUCCACACCUCAUCAAAAAUGAUGAGGUGACCCCUGGCUUAACCCAAACAGAGUUUGAUCUCCGUCGGCAAAGACUGGCCUCUCUCAUCGAGGUUCAGGCAGAUCGGCUGGGACCCACUGCUUCCUCCAACAAACACCUCGUCAUUGUCCUCUCCCACUCAAUCCGCUACAUGACCAAUGACAUCCCCUACCCCUUCCACCAGAACCAGGACUUCCUCUACCUUUACAUGUACAUUUACAUCAUUUAGCAGACGCUCUUAUCCAGAGCGACUUACAAAUUGGUGCAUUCAACUUAUGAU